rnacentral:rRNA from 1 species
AUUGAACGCUGGCGGCAGGCCUAACACAUGCAAGUCGAGCGGAUGAAGGGAGCUUGCUCCUGGAUUCAGCGGCGGACGGGUGAGUAAUGCCUAGGAAUCUGCCUGGUAGUGGGGGAUAACGUCCGGAAACGGGCGCUAAUACCGCAUACGUCCUGAGGGAGAAAGUGGGGGAACUUCGGGCCUCACGCUAUCAGAUGAGCCUAGGUCGGAUUAGCUAGUUGGUGGGGUAAAGGCCUACCAAGGCGACGAUCCGUAACUGGUCUGAGAGGAUGAUCAGUCACACUGGAACUGAGACACGGUCCAGACUCCUACGGGAGGCAGCAGUGGGGAAUAUUGGACAAUGGGCGAAAGCCUGAUCCAGCCAUGCCGCGUGUGUGAAGAAGGUCUUCGGAUUGUAAAGCACUUUAAGUUGGGAGGAAGGGCAGUAAGUUAAUACCUUGCUGUUUUGACGUUACCAACAGAAUAAGCACCGGCUAACUUCGUG